AAAUCCAUUAUAUGAAGAUCCAUAUAUAAGUUAUUUAUUUAAAUUGUAUAGUUCACUAGUAGUUUAUUUUGUGUGACAUUUGAUAAACAACAUGGUUCAACUUAAGGUUUUGGUAAUUUUUUUGAUGGUUUUUCUGGUGAAUAUUAAUGCUGUACCUGUACCUAAUCCUGAUGCAGUAGCUGAAGCCAAUCCUGAUCCAAAACCGAAUCCAUAUUUUUAUGUUGGUUGGGGUCCAUGGUACUGGUGGCCAUACAACAGAGUAGUUUACUAUGGAACUCCAUACGCUGUUGCUAUAUAGUAUAUAGGCUAUAAUGGAAAAUAGAAAAUUGCAGGUUCAGUUUUUGGUUCAGUCAUACUCAGUAGCUUCAAAGUUUGUUUUUGCACAUUUUGGUAGCUUUAAGCUUAUUUCUUUUUUUUUUUAAUACAAUAUUUGCUCAACUAAAAUUGUGAUACCAAAUAGUUAGGCUUUAAAUCAAACGAAAAUAUUAAUUAUUAUUAUUUUUGCUUACUAGCUAUAUAAUUUCAAAAUAAAAUAAAGAAAGUAAAAAAAAUAUAGGCAAGAGUUUGUUUAUGUGAAUUUAAAUAUAAAAAUGCGGAGAACAAAGACGAAACAUAUCUGUUAUUAAUAGAUGAACAUUACCUACAAAUUACAUCAUUUUUCUAGUUACUAAUGACUACAUUAAAUGUAUAUUUAUUGUUGCAAAAUUUGUGAUUAGAUCGUUGUUAUGAAUAUAAAUAUACACUAUUUUCCAUCAA